AUCUUUUUGCUGAUUCACUCCUUUUAAAGAGAGUUUGAAUUCCUCUUUUACAUAUAAAUUAACCUCUGUCAGGAAAAAACAGACUAUAACUAUUGAACUGCAGUUCGGUGUCUCUGUCAUUCUUGGUCCCUGAAUCUAGAGACCUGCACUACCGCAAGACUACCGCAGAACCCGACGCAACCAAGUGCGACAAUGUGGUGGCUGACGCCUCCUCCUCUCUACUCCCCUCGCCGCUCUUCUCCCUCCCUUAUGCUCAGUUCGGUGUGUGUCUCCUCAUUCAAAGGGCGCAAGGGUGGGAACAAGUCGUCCAACAAAGCAUGUUACAGCGCCGACAUGACUUGCCCGUCGGAAAGCGAGAAGAUCGUCAUCAACUGCGGCGGCGUGAGGCACGAGACGUACCGGAGCACGCUAAAGACGCUGCCCGGUACGCGGCUCUCGUGGCUCACUGAGCCGGACGCGUUCAGCAACUUCGACUACGACCCGAAGUCCGACGAGUUCUUCUUCGACCGACACCCGUCAGUCUUCUCCUUCAUCCUCAACUACUACAGGACGGGCAAGUUGCACUGUCCCAACGACGUCUGCGGGCCGCUGUUCGAGGAGGAGCUCGCCUUCUGGGGCAUCGACGAGACGGACGUGGAGGCGUGCUGCUGGAUGAACUACCGGCAGCAUCGGGACGCGGAGGAGGCGCUGGACAGCUUCGAGAACCCCGAGCCGGAGGUACCGGAGGACGACCCGGCGGUGGCGGGGGACGAGGAUCUAAAGCGACUUUGUCUGCAGGAGGACGGCAGGAAGGCGGGCUGGUGGCGCGUUUGGAGACCGAGGAUCUGGGCGCUUUUCGAGGACCCCUAUUCAUCCAAAUACGCGCGGUAUGUGGCGUUUGGAUCCCUACUCUUCAUCCUUAUCUCCAUUUCCACGUUUUGCAUGGAGACGCACGAAGCCUUCAACACCAUCUACAACAGAACUGAGAACGUUACAGAGGGGAACGUCACGAAAGAGGAGAUCGUGUACGAAGUGGUGACGGACAGUUGGCUGACGUACGUGGAGGGCGUGUGCGUGAUCUGGUUCACCAUCGAGGUUUUCACGCGUGUCGUCUUCUGUCCCGACAAGGCAGAGUUCUUCAAAAACGCUUUGAACAUCAUCGACUUCGUGGCCAUCUUGCCCUUCUACCUUGAGGUCGGCCUGAGCGGCCUCUCCUCCAAAGCGGCGAAAGACGUGCUGGGCUUCCUUCGGGUGGUGCGAUUCGUCCGAAUUCUGCGUAUCUUCAAGUUGACCCGUCACUUCGUGGGCCUUCGCGUUCUCGGACACACGCUCCGCGCCAGCACCAACGAGUUCCUCCUUCUAAUCAUCUUCCUCGCCCUCGGAGUUCUCAUCUUUGCCACCAUGAUCUACUACGCCGAGAGGAUAGGAGCGAGUCCGGACGACCCCACGGCGAGCGCGCACACCAACUUUAAAAACAUCCCAAUUGGUUUCUGGUGGGCUGUGGUGACCAUGACUACGCUGGGCUACGGAGAUAUGUACCCUGAGACGUGGUCAGGGAUGCUGGUGGGGGCGCUGUGUGCCCUCGCGGGUGUGCUGACUAUUGCCAUGCCCGUGCCCGUGAUUGUGAAUAACUUUGGCAUGUAUUAUUCGCUGGCCAUGGCCAAGCAGAAGUUGCCCAAAAAGAAGAAUAAACACAUCCCGCGAGCACCCCAACCCGGCUCGCCCAAUUACUGUAAGCCGGAUGCCCUCGCCAUGGCCACGGCCUCGCCACAGAGGAUCCUGGGUAAUGUGCUGGGUGGAUUAGGUGGACUUACUGGAGACAUAGGAUGCCCUCUUGCUCAGGAGGAAAUCAUAGAGAUUAACAGAGACUCAAAGCAGAAUGGUGACGCUGCCAGCGCCGCUUUAGCGAACGAAGACUGUCCGACGAUCGAUCAGGUACUAAGUCCAGAAGAGCGCAGCCCGAUGGGCCGAACGAGAGAACGGUAUCAGCAGGACCGAGCCUGUUUCCUCCUCAACACACGAGAUUUUCGACCCGCUGAUGGGAAUGUGAGGAAAGACAGACACUGGGAUAUUUGGACAGACUCACAGACAGACUGACGUUGAGAAGGCCGCCAUUGCAGCGCAAGUGUUUCUAAUGCGUGACUGUGGUGUUAAGUUUCUAGCGUUUGGCAAAUCUUUUAAGGAGACACACAGUUAGUCGCUGAAUCCUGAAAAUUUUGCCGACGGGCCGCACCAUCCACACUGGACAUGUGAGGAAUGUCGGAGUGGCAAGAGAAUGCGAGUGACUGGAAAAAAUAAGGAGUACGGACGGAUCUUCACACGGUAACCAAAGCAACCUCACCGAAAUUCCGGAUCGCUCCUCUUCCUAAAGACAGACUGACUCUGAACACCGACACAAAAGACUCGAAAGGAAAACAUUCCAGUGUUUCUCAUCUGCCGUUUAGGAUCAAAACAUCAGAUGAUUUGACUGCCACACUGACCUGGGCCCUGACUUUCUGUAUAUUCAUCUAUAUGUGAGAAUGAAGGACCAAGUUAGAAUAAUUAUGUAGCAUUUCUGCUAAGACCCUGUAGCAUUUCUUGGCUGGGAGAAUCUCCAACAACCUUUUUAAAGACAUUGACCGUUUGCACAGAAUGACUAAACAUGGCUUAGUCAUGCACAACUUUUUUCUUAUCGUCCCCACUCAGCAUUUUCGCAGCGAAACGUGUUUGUGCUUUGCCGUGUGGUAGUUUCCAUUCGCUGUCUGAGAAAAACGUCCAAGUCUUAGAUUAGCUUUUUUCUAUUUGAAACGGGGGAAGCGAAACUCGAGCAUUGCUAUUCCCAAAACAGUCUUCCAGUUUUUCCCCCGAGUUUAGGGGAGGCGACGUCGAAAACACAAUGCGACCCGACACACCAAAGCCCACUUCCUAUAACCAAAUAAUGUACGGCACAGAUUAUCCCUGCCGGAUCUCAACGUUCUGGCGAAUUUUAGAUAGGGUAUGUCCCUUUAAAUAUGAAGAGAGAUUGGCUGUACUGCCGGGGUAAACCCCCCAAAACCUCAAAUUGAGGAUUUUCGAUUUCCAUAUUAAGCCUCUCUUGUUCCUAGAAUUAUUUUUUUGUAAUGGUAUGAUUUAUUUUGUAAUUUAGUCGAGCUAAUGCUGCCAUAGAUUGUGCACACGCAAAAGUGCUUGGACCAAUAACAAGCGUAAGUUUGUUUACUUUGUUUCAUGUUUUUCGAAAGAGGGUACGCAAAGAUGUUCUUAAACGCUCCCUUUCUAAAAUAAAAAAUAUCGUCUACGUAAGACUUAAAACUAUAACUGCCUUCAGAGUUUCCCUCCGUCAUCGUCUCGUCUCCUAUUGGCUUGAUGUCUCUCACUGUUGUUCCUUCUUGACCAAUCGGAGGGGGGAGCGUUCUACGAGGUCACGCCAAACCAAUCAAGGAGAAUAAAUGUACAAAAAGAACAUAUUUAUAUAUUUUGAUAUGUAGUUGCAAAACAUCUCCAUGGUGAUGCCGCAGAUGUUGGAAUGCGACAAAUGCGAUCGUUUCGGCUUACGCUAAGAACUUGAAUAACGAAAAAUAAAUAAAGGAUGCUCUAUGCGCAAAAUAGAUCAUCAAAAGAGAUUUCCUCAUAGACUGUGAGAAAAUGGAUGUCAAAAUAUGAACAAAAAACCAACAUGGAGAUAGAAAAAAAAUGCAUUUUUGUAACUUUGUUUACCAGCAUGAAACCUUUGCAUGAGUGUAUUUUCUGCGAGCCCUUAGUUGAAGUGAGGAGGGCUAAAAUAAUAAAAAAUAUUAAUAAUAAAUAUGUUAAUAAAAUACAAAAAAUCAUGAUAUGCAAUGGAUAUUUAAGAAAAAGAAUAUAUUUAAAAGAGCUAUAUUUUGUUUCGAAAUAGGAAGAAAAUGUGAAUAAAUUCUGCGAGCUUUUAUUAGUUUAAAAAAAUGCCACCUAAAUCUGUUCUGCUACAUACUGCCCCAUGUACCGUUCCUGUUUGCUUUACAUGUUUCAUUUGUUCCAUCAAAACCCUACCCCAUGUAUUUUUUGGGUUGUGUAUGCAGAAGGGGGCUCGUUUUUAAUCCCGAAAUGUUCGUCUUAGUUUCCUCUGUAGCCAUGGUAACAACUGUGCCCCUCUGUAAGUGGGAUACGGCUUUUUUCCCAGCAUGCUUGGGGGCCGAUUGCGUUUCAUCACGUCUCGGUUUCACUUCAGUUUCUCUCAUUGGCAAUAAUACGAAUGAUGAUCCAGAGAUCUUCUCAAUGGAUUUUGUAGCACGGCAAAGAGGAGAAUGGUAAUAAUCUCAGCAUCUUCCUUACGAAUGGAUACAGUACGGAAAACCGGCGUACUAUUAUCUCAGGUGAAAUAUGAGAAAGAUCCGCACCAGACUUCUGCCUGCCUGGUUGCCAUUGCUUGUCUCUCUGAUUCACAUCUUUAAACACCCGAUAAACGGUUGGACAAGCACAGUUAUCUCUUGGGUGUUGAUGGAUUUCUCAUUGAAGCAGGAGGUUGCAUGCGGUAGCCAACAGCCAGUUUUUGACACAUGCAGGCCUGCAAAAGCACAGCUGAAAUAAAGCAAUGAAUAAAUCCAAUGUUACUUGGGAAAGUACGUGAUGCGUGAGCAUUAGACGAACGAAUACACAGCACUGAGCCAUGAUUUGAGUAUGGGUAUUGUCUUUGGGUAUUCCUAAACAUUUGUUUACAUCCAUCAUUGUAGCACUGCAGCGAUUGAUAGCAUCACAUGCUGAUUUAUUUGUAGAAACUUCAAAUAAGGGUGUUUAAAACAAUCUUAAAUGAGAUACAAAGAUCCUAUGCAAGGCACGGUAGCAUAUGUGAAGGGCAAAUUAUAUGUGAUACACGUUUUGCAUACUAUGCUUAUUGUUGGCGUUGGAAAAAAUUGUUGAAUCUUCUUUAUUUUUAAGUCGCUUUUGGAUAAAGGUGUCUGCUGAAUAAGUUACUAUGUAACAAACAUUGCAGAUGUGAAUAUCAAAGAGAAGCAGAACUCCCAGACAGCAGACGACUCCGGGCCGGAUCCGGCCCAGAUUCGUCUGCGUUAGAGAUAUUGGUGCUAGUGGAUAUAAAAGUGAAAUGCGACCCUGUCUGUGAAAUCCAGGUUAAAGAUCGGUUUGAUUUUUAGUUAUUGAUUAUUGAUCUUACUCGAGGUUAUAUAUAUAUAUUUUUUACUUUAUGUAGGAUGAGUUAAUAUGUAAAAAUGACUUUAGGUGGGUUUUCACAGACUAGGUCACAAAUAUGAAAGGUCAGAAAGUUAAGGAUACGUGUACACUUGAAUAAAUCUCCUGACUUUGUUAACCCACACUGUAAAAACAAAUACAGCGUGAAGUUAAAACAACUUGGUUUUGCAAGUCAAUUCAACAUAAUAUUUUAAGUUUUGACCUGUGAAUAGUUGACAUAACUUAUAAAAAGUUAAUUUUUUAAGUUAAAGUAGCAUAAAAAUAUAUGUUGAUUUGACAAAAUGCUGCAUUUUUUUUACAGUCAGUUACUGUAUAUGGAAAGCGUCUGUGAAAGAUGAACAAAGGUGAAAAGAUGAAUAUGAGAGAGUUUGUGAAGGUUGAAGCAGGCAGCGGUCUGGUGUCAUAGCAGAGGGACACUUUGAGUUUUUAGGUCUGCUGAUAUUGAUAUGUGAAGCGCACAGGACGGAGAUGAAAAUUUGAUCUUUAGGAGGAAGACGAUAUGACACGGCUUAUAUUUUCGAAACCUUUGAAAGCGGAAACCAGAUGUCUUCGUGUCGUUGGGUCACUGGGUUCAUUCCCACCCCAGAAUGAAACCUUAUAGCCCAAAUAGGUCUUUAUUUUACAUUUCCAGAGUUGUGCAUAUUUAUAGUUUUAUAAACUUUAUUUUGUUUAUAAUUACUGAUUUAUUGAAAUGAUUUAUAUUUUCUACAGAGUUUCGUUCUUCGCUUUUUCCCAUAUCAGAGGUUGUUCAUAUUUUUAUGACCACUUUGUUCACACGCACACACAGACACACACAUAUAUAUAAAUAUAAAUAAAAAAGCCUGCUGGUUUUAUUUUAGAAGGCAUUAAGACCACUUUGGUCCAAGGGUCACAAAGUAAUGCAGAAUAAAUAUUUUAAAGCAUGCUCUUCCAGCAAAAACACAUAUCCGCACUAGGCCUGACGUGUCACAUCAUGAGAGAUUUUGUUUUAUUCCUAAACCUGUUCAUUCAUUUCAUUUUCUUUAAAGUUAAAAUGGUCUUCUUUUUUAUGUUUUGAUGUACAUUUGAAACCACACUGCCCUCUUUAAUGAUCUGGAAUGGUAGAUCUGUCUGCAUUUCUUUCGUUGUGCCUGCUCUUGUAUUCAGUGUCUGAUCGAUCAUUCCUCUCUUGUGAAUUACGUUUUAUUUGAUGUACUUGAAUUACAGAUAUGCAAUCACCACCUCUCUGACCACUGCCAAUCAUCCCGAUCAAUAAUCAAUAUGAUUAAAGUGAUUAACAACCUU